rnacentral:sRNA from 1 species
CCCCAUGAUGACCUGCUUUAAGUCAAUCAAUAAACGCAUCUUGUCACAGAAGACAUCGUCAGCAAGGUUCAGAAGGAGGUAUCGACCAAUUAAUUGGCAUGUAAAAUUGACAGGCUUUAUUAGUCAGCCUUGAGAUAAAACAUCUAUUUGGUGGUUUCUGUUUGCUCAAAAAGUAUUAAAUAACUAUGAUGCGCCAGACAUUAUGAAAUUCUUAGGACACUUAUUCAUUUAACUUUUUCUUUCUCCAGAAAGAGCUAAAUCCUUGCCAAAGGCAUUGGGGUUUACUAGUACUCUGUCUUCACUGCUGUACAUAUCAUUUGUAUAAACGCCUUCUGUCUCCGUGCUACAUGAAAUAUGAAAAGCAGUGUUGCUUCAUUGUGAAAAUGUGUACAAAGUAUUUUAUAAUAGCGAUUUAAUCAAAAGCAGCUGGUCUGUAUAAAAUUAUAAUUUUUAUGCAUAAUAGAAAGUGAAGAGAGAGCAGAGGACCUUAGUUUUUAAAUAACCUUAUAACCUUUUUUAUUAAUCUUUCUUUGCCACCCCCCACUUUUUUUAAAUGUGUGGUAAGUUAUUUUAUCUAUUUUCCCCUUGAGCCGCUUUAUAAAUAGCAAUCACUCCGGAAACAAGCCAGUUUCUAUGACUCAAAACAAAACCUAUCUGUUGGCUUUUUUUUUUAUGGCUACUGGAAGAUUAUUUAUUCAUUAAAAUAAAGAUGCGUUAGCUCUGCUCAGCACAGCGCUCUGGACUGUGCUCUUUAAGAUGGCUCUUUGGAAAGGAACAAUCAUCUGGGAACCAGAGCAAAGUGCAGAUGCGGAGGGUGUGUGCAGGAUGGAGAAUCAUCCCAGAUACUGCCACCCAGGAGCACUGCUACACCUGCAUUGGUUGAGCAUCAGAUGCAUGGACCCGACUCUCUUUCACAGUGUGGUCAUCGUUUGAGGACAUUGUAACCCAAGGCUGCUUUAGAACCUAAGAAGCCAGUAGCACUCUUUUCUUGCCAUGUGCCAACUCCACUUUUAAUUUAGUGGCUUGGAAUAAGUCUUCUUCUUUUGAAGGUUUGUUUUAUUAUUGCAUAAUUAUGGCGUUUGGGUGUUGCCUUCUCCCCUGCUUUCUCUUUAGUAGGGGUGGGUCUGGUUAACCAGCCACAGAUACCACUGAAAACUCAAAAUGGCUGCCUCUGGUUGGCUGGCUGGUGUUGGCUGCUGGAACGUCUCUCUAACAUGAUCCUCUCAUUCUUCUUCCCUUCCCCUCUCUGUACUCCAUGCCUCUGUCCUCUCAAGAAAAACAUGGUUUUCUGCUGACAAGAUUGUUCUGCAGUUAAAAGCACUUGCCCUAAAGUUGGAUAGCUCACAUUCGAUCCCACGAAUCCAUUUGGCAUGAGACACCAACUCUCCCAAGUUGUCCUCUGACCUUCAUGUUUUGGGGACAUGUGUGCCUCUUCCCAGAAUGAAUAAAGGUCAUAUAUUAA